rnacentral:lncRNA from 1 species
CAGAAACAACAAGAUACGUGUAUUUUGAAGUGUAUUUAAUUAAAAUGCAUUAGUUUUGUUUUAAAAUACAAGAGUAUAUUAGCCAGUAGCAGACCCCAACAGCAACAACCCUCUCAGUAAUGUAACAGAAACAGUUGACUUCCUAUGUGAUACAGGAUGUUGUUGUUUACUGCCUUUAGUUUAAUGCACUGAAGUCACUCUGGAUAAGAGUGUUGAUAAACGACUAAAGUAUUCGUGAAAAUUAACAUACCAUAAUGAACAACAAUGUGCUGGGGUAAUAAACUAAAAGUUCCCCCCUUCAGGGUCCCCAGGACCAGGACUAAAGGACACUGAUCUACGUAUGGUACGAAGUAGCUUCCCAGAAGCCUGGUUACAGUAUGGUACAGUAGCUUUCCCAGAAGCCUGGUUACAGUAUGGUACAGUAGCUUUCCCAGAAGCCUGGUCAGUAUGGACAGUAGCAGCUUUCCCAGAAGCCUGGUUACAGUAUGGUACAGUAGCUUUCCCAGAAGCCUGGUGCAGCUCUGGGUGGAGCGCUGGGUGGAGCUCUGGGUGGAGCUCUGGAUCCACCGUCCAUAUCAAUCCUGGUAUCCCCAGACUCCCUGGGGGCGAUUACAUUUUGGGUGUAAUAGCCCGCCUGUUCCAGGAACUUCCUCAAUGUAUACUGACGUAUGAUCAUGAGCAAGCUCCUGCUGAUGCAAUAUGUGUUGACCGGGUCGAAGCUCUUCAGGUCCUCGUGCUUCGUCACAUAGACCUUAUCCACUAUCCUGUCUGGACGCAUACUGAUGAUGAGACGGUCCAUGUUGCUGUCAUCUUUCUGAUGAGUGUUACCCCCACGGACAUAUUCAGGCAAGGAUUUAGAUGUUGGGAGGUAGAGGUUGCCCACGUCAUAGAAUGGGUACUCACUAAAAGGAAGCAGCCUCUUGCAGACAUUGUUUUUACACUCACGUCUGUUCUGGAAGUGAUGGAAUCCAAAGCCUCCCUCUUUGGGGUCGCAAUUUGCAACCAUCUGGUCAUUUUCGAUGACGAUGUGAUCUUUGGCGAACCAGAAAAGGAGCCUGAGUCCGUGCCUGGGUGAGGGACGACCAAACGAAGAAUUUCUAAGCUCCUCCAUAUUGUUCAAUGUUCGAACCAUGGUACCCCUGGGGGAGGGAGAGAGAGAGAGAGGGUAGAGAGAAGGGGGGGUAGAGAAGAGAGGAUAAGAAAAGCGGGGGGGGGUAGAGAGAGAGGGAUGAGAAAGAGGGGGGG